GGGCCAGACUCCUACGGGAGGCAGCAGUGGGGAAUAUUGCACAAUGGGCGAAAGCCUGAUGCAGCAACGCCGCGUGAAGGAAGAAGGCCUUCGGGUCGUAAACUUCUGUCCUCGGGGAAGAAGAACUGACGGUACCCAAGGAGGAAGCCCCGGCUAACUGCGUGCCAGCAGCCGCGGUAAUACGUAGGGGGCAAGCGUUAUCCGGAAUUAUUGGGCGUAAAGAGUACGUAGGUGGCAACCUAAGCGCAGGGUUUAAGGCAAUGGCUCAACCAUUGUUCGCCCUGCGAACUGGGAUGCUUGAGUGCAGGAGAGGAAAGCGGAAUUCCUAGUGUAGCGGUGAAAUCCGUAGAUAUCUGGAGGAACAUCAGUGGCGAAGGCGACUAUCUGGCACAUAACUGACGCUGAGGAGCGAAAGCGUGGGUAGCAAACAGGAUUAGAUACCCCAGUAUU
rnacentral:rRNA from 1 species